UAUUCACAGAUAUUUAAGCAUUCAAACGAAUCACAGUGUAGUUUAUCAAAAUUACAACUAUGAAAAGUUUGCAUUUAUUGUUCAUUUCUGUUUUAAUCUUUUUAUGUUACCUAACACCUACACUAUCUCAAAGAGAUUUACCAGGAAAGGAUUGCAGAACUCCGGAUAAAUUUUUCAAUCCCGAAGGAAAGUGGCAGUGUUUAUGUAACGAAUGGAAGGUAGUACAAAUGUGUAGAAUGGAAGAAGGUUGAAGGUUAUAAUACCCCGUCAACAUCGACAAACUUUUUCAUUUACUUUUAUUUAUUAAAAGAAAAAUUAUAAUAAACUAGUACAUUUUUACCGAAGUGCGAUUAACUCUAA